GUCUACAGCCAUCCUACCGUGAACAAGCCCGAUGUCUGAUCUCGGAAGCUAAGCAGGGUCGGGCCUGGUUAGUACUUGGAUGGGAGACCACCUAGGACUCCCAGAUGCUAUAGGCA
rnacentral:rRNA from 1 species